UACGUAGGGUGCGAGCGUUAAUCGGAAUUACUGGGCGUAAAGCGUGCGCAGGCGGAUUGUUAAGCAAGAUGUGAAAUCCCCGGGCUUAACCUGGGAAUGGCAUUUUGAACUGGCAGUCUAGAGUGUGUCAGAGGGGGGUGGAAUUCCACGUGUAGCAGUGAAAUGCGUAGAUAUGUGGAGGAACACCAAUGGCGAAGGCAGCCCCCUGAGAUAACACUGACGCUCAUGUACGAAAGCGUGGGUAGCAAACAGGAUUAGAUACCCUGGUAGUCCACGCCCUAAACGAUGUCAACUGGUUGUUGGGGGAGUGAAAUUCCUUAGUAACGAAGCUAACGCGUGAAGUUGACCGCCUGGGGAGUACGGUCGCAAGAUUAAAACUCAAAGGAAUUGACGGGGACCCGCACAAGCGGUGGAUGAUGUGGAUUAAUUCGAUGCAACGCGAAAAACCUUACCUACCCUUGACAUGUCCAGAACCCUGCAGAGAUGCGGGGGUGCCCGAAAGGGAAUUGGAACACAGGUGCUGCAUGGCUGUCGUCAGCUCGUGUCGUGAGAUGUUGGGUUAAGUCCCGCAACGAGCGCAACCCUUAUCAUUAGUUGCUACGCAAGGGCACUCUAAUGAGACUGCCGGUGACAAACCGGAGGAAGGUGGGGAUGACGUCAAGUCCUCAUGGCCCUUAUGGGUAGGGCUUCACACGUCAUACAAUGGUCGGUACAGAGGGUUGCCAAGCCGCGAGGUGGAGCCAAUCCCAGAAAGCCGAUCGUAGUCCGGAUUGUUCUCUGCAACUCGAGAGCAUGAAGUCGGAAUCGCUAGUAAUCGCGGAUCAGCAUGUCGCGGUGAAUACGUUCCCGGGUCU
rnacentral:rRNA from 1 species